GAAUCAGAAAGAAGAUUGGGAGGCGAGAUAGAGGAGAGGGAGAAAUGCGAAGAAAAGAAAAAGAAGAAAGAAAAAGAGAGAAGAGGGAAACUACUAAACUCUUCACUUCACAUGUCUUUUUCCUCUCUCCAUUUAUCCAUACACUACACUUCUUUCUAUAACCACUAUUUCAUCAUCAUACUCUCUUCCAAGACAAAUUCAUCAUCACCCUACUUCGAUCACCAAAACACCAUUAAAACACCAUUAAAACACCUCAAUCUCUUUUGCGAAACCAAAACCCUAUUAUCACCCCUCUUCAAAGACACAAGACACAAAUUAGAGUUAGAAAAUAUGCAUGCAAGCCAAGUGAAAUAUUGUAGAAGGAUGAAAGAGUUAGGGUUUCCACUCAUCGAUUGAGGAAGUAGAAAGCAAACUUGGUCUCUAAUCUUCUCUAUGAGGGUCUGACAAACCUAGUGAUUUCGGAGAAGUAUACUUUUGAGCCUUAAGGCAAGACUGUUAGACCUUGGAGGUAUUCAGGUGGGGAAUUCUUAAGUGACUUGGAGGUAACACUCCAAAUGCCGAGAGCUACAAUGCAACACAUGUUUACCUCAAUUGUCCCGUAUAUGUGUCUCAGGUUGAGUCGAGGGGAUCUAUGAGGACAUGAUCAAUUUGAAUUGUUUGUUCACUCUGGUGGUGUCAUAGUAUCACGCCUCCUAACCAAGUACUUCAGAUUUAGAAUAAUACUAAAUUAUGAAGUAGAGUCUAAGCUCAUACAUGACAUUACAUUUUCCUAUGAUUGUUUUGUUAUGAUUAAUAUGUAUCGUGUGCGAUAAUAAUUUCUCUUAAAUGAUUUGAUAUUAUAGUGAAAUA